GUGGGGAAUAUUCCGCAAUGGACGAAAGUCUGACGGAGCAACGCCGCGUGAGUGAUGAAGGUUUUCGGACUGUAAAGCUCUGUUGUUUAGGACGAAAGUGCCUGUUGCAAAUAGUUACAGGUAUUGACGGUACUGAACGAGGAAGCCACGGCUAACUACGUGCCAGCAGCCGCGGUAAUACGUAGGUGGCAAGCGUUGUCCGGAAUUAUUGGGCGUCAAGAGCAUGUAGGCGGGAAUCUAAGUCUGUUGUGAAAAUGCGGGGCUCAACCCCGUAGUGCGAUGGAAACUGGGUUUCUUGAGUGCAGGAGAGGAAAGGGGAAUUCCCAGUGUAGCGGUGAAAUGCGUAGAUAUUGGGAGGAACACCAGUGGCGAAGGCGCCUUUCUGGACUGUGUCUGACGCUGAGAUGCGAAAGCCAGGGUAGCGAACGGGAUUAGAAACCCGUGUAGUCC
rnacentral:rRNA from 1 species